rnacentral:rRNA from 1 species
AUUGAACGCUGGCGGAAUGCUUUACACAUGCAAGUCGAACGGCAGCACGGGGAGGGGCAACUCUCUCUGGUGGCGAGUGGCGAACGGGUGAGUAAUAUAUCGGAACGUAUCCAAUAAUGGGGGAUAACUAGUCGAAAGAUUGGCUAAUACCGCAUACGCCCUACGGGGGAAAGCAGGGGAUCUUCGGACCUUGCGUUAAUGGAGCGGCCGAUAUCUGAUUAGCUAGUUGGUGGGGUAAAGGCCCACCAAGGCGACGAUCAGUAGCUGGUCUGAGAGGACGACCAGCCACACUGGAACUGAGACACGGUCCAGACUCCUACGGGAGGCAGCAGUGGGGAAUUUUGGACAAUGGGCGCAAGCCUGAUCCAGCCAUUCCGCGUGAGUGAAGAAGGCCUUCGGGUUGUAAAGCUCUUUCGCAAGGGAAGAAAACUUAUCCACUAACAUUGGAUGAGGUUGACGGUACCUUGAUAAGAAGCACCGGCUAACUACGUGCCAGCCGCCGCAGUAAAAC